ensembl:snRNA U6 U6 spliceosomal RNA
AGGACCUCAAUGAACUAAAAUAUAAAAUUGGAAUGAUACAGAGAGUAUUAGCAUGGCCACUGCACCAAGGUAAUAUUCAAGUUUAUCAAUCUGUCCAUAGUUUC